rnacentral:rRNA from 1 species
AGAGUUUGAUCAUGGCUCAGAUUGAACGCUGGCGGCAGGCUUAACACAUGCAAGUCGAGCGGGGAAAGGUAGCUUGCUACCUUACCUAGCGGCGGACGGGUGAGUAAUGCUUAGGAAUCUGCCUAUUAGUGGGGGACAACAUUUCGAAAGGAAUGCUAAUACCGCAUACGCCCUACGGGGGAAAGCAGGGGACCUUCGGGCCUUGCGCUAAUAGAUGAGCCUAAGUCGGAUUAGCUAGUUGGUGGGGUAAAGGCCUACCAAGGCGACGAUCUGUAGCGGGUCUGAGAGGAUGAUCCGCCACACUGGGACUGAGACACGGCCCAGACUCCUACGGGAGGCAGCAGUGGGGAAUAUUGGACAAUGGGGGGAACCCUGAUCCAGCCAUGCCGCGUGUGUGAAGAAGGCCUUUUGGUUGUAAAGCACUUUAAGCGAGGAGGAGGCUCCCAGUAUUAAUACUACUGGAGAGUGGACGUUACUCGCAGAAUAAGCACCGGCUAACUCUGUGCCAGCAGCCGCGGUAAUACAGAGGGUGCAAGCGUUAAUCGGAUUUACUGGGCGUAAAGCGUGCGUAGGUGGCCAAUUAAGUCAAAUGUGAAAUCCCCGAGCUUAACUUGGGAAUUGCAUUCGAUACUGGUUGGCUAGAGUAUGGGAGAGGAUGGUAGAAUUCCAGUGUAGCGGUGAAAUGCGUAGAGAUCUGGAGGAAUACCGAUGGCGAACGCAGCCAUCUGGGCCUAAUACUGACACUGAGGUACGAAAGCAUGGGGAGCAAACAGGAUUAGAUACCCUGGUAGUCC